rnacentral:rRNA from 1 species
GGACUACAAGGGUAUCUAAUCCUGUUUGCUCCCCUAGCUUUCGCAGUUGAGUGUCAGUAAUGGUCCAGGUACUUGCUUUCGCCAUUGGUGUUCCUCCCGAUCUCUGCACAUUUCACCGUUCCACCGGGAAUUCCAGUACCCUCUCCCAUACUCAAGCCUGGCAGUAUCUGUUGACCUCUCCCGGUUAAGCCGAGAGCUUUCACAACAGACUUACCAAACCACCUACCUGCCCUUUACGCCUAGUAAUUCCGAGUAACGCUUGCCACCUUCGUAUUACCGCGGCUGCUGGCAC